GAUCAAGUUACUAAGGGUUUACGAAGGAUGGCUUGGCACAGAUAGGCGAUGAAGGACGUGGUAAGCUGCGAUAAGCUGCGGUGAGUUGCAAACAAACUUUGACCCGCAGGUGUCCGAAUGGGGGAACCCAGUCCGCGUUAUGGCGGAUUACUCUGAAGUGAAUACAUAGCUUCAGGAGAGCUAAACCGAGGGAAUUGAAACAUCUUAGUACCUCGAGGAAAAGAAAAUAAUAAUGAUUCCCUAAGUAGCGGCGAGCGAACGGGGAAAAGCCUAAACUGGGUGUGUGUAAGUCUGUAUGCGUUGCAUAUCCAGGGUUGUAGGAUCGAGCCUGACUAAAGUACAGUUUAGUCGCCUUGCAUGUUUUUAUAAUUAAAUGAUCUGGGAAGGUCAACCAAAGAAGGUGAUAGUCCUGUAAGUGAAAUAAAAAUAUGAUGGGUGGGUUUGACACCUGAUUAAUACGGGACACGAGAAACCCCGUACGAAACUGCCUCGACCACGAGGUAAGGCUAAAUACUAAUCUGUGACCGAUAGUGAAGUAGUACCGUGAGGGAAAGCUGAAAAGUACGCCGGUGAGGCGAGUGAAAUAGUACCUGAAAUCGUAUAACCUACAAACUGUGGAAGGCCUAUGUUCACCUUCGGGUGAAAAUGGCUAACUGCGUACCUUUUGCAUAAUGGUCCAACGAGUUUUUGUACGAUGCAAGCUUAAGAUUGUUGACAAUCGCAGGCGUAGCGAAAGCGAGUCUUAAAAGGGCGUUUUAGUAUCGUGUAAUAGACCCGAAACUGAGUGAUCUAUCCAUGGCCAGGAUGAAGGUAGCGUAAAAGCUACUGGAGGUCCGAACCCAACUACGUUGAAAAGUGGUGGGAUGAGCUGUGGAUCGGAGUGAAAGGCUAAUCAAACUCAGAGAUAGCUGGUUCUCCCCGAAAUAGCUUUAGGGCUAGCCUCAUAAAAUGGGCAUUGGGGGUAGAGUACUGAAUGGGCUAGGGGGCUUACCCGCCUACCGAACCCAAUCAAACUCCGAAUACCAAUGUUCCUUACUAUGGGAGUCAGACUAUGGGAGAUAAGUUUCAUAGUCGAGAGGGAUACAGCCCAGAUCACCGAUUAAGGUCCCUAAAUUCUAGCUAAGUGGUAAAGGAUGUGAAACUUCGAAGACAACCAGGAUGUUGGCUUAGAGGCAGCCACCAUUUAAAGAGUGCGUAAUAGCUCACUGGUCAAGUGGUUUUGCGCCGAUAAUGAUCGGGGCUCAAGCUAGAUACCGAAGUCGUGGAAUUCAUUACUUGUAAUGGAUUGGUAGGGGAGCUUUCUGUUCAGCAGUGAAGCGGUAGUGUAAACAGCCGUGGAGCGUACAGAAGUGAGAAUGUAUGGAAUGAGUAGCGAAAAAACUCGCGAGAAACGAGUUCGCCGAAAAUCUAAGGUUUCCUGGGGAAGGUUAAUCCGCCCAGGGUAAGUCGACCCCUAAGACGAGGCCGAAAGGCGUAGCCGAUGGGAAGCUGGUUAAUAUUCCAGCACCAGUUACUUAGUGUUAUAAAGCGGG
rnacentral:rRNA from 1 species